AAACACUCUAGAAUAGACUGAUUUUGAUUUCUAAAUUAAGGUGGGUGCCAAAUUAUUACAUUGUAGUACAUAACUACUCCAAACCGGCUGAAAACCGACAAAAUAGCUAUGAACCGGCCCAAUCUACCAGAUCAAACACCGGGUGCGGGGGGGCCAGAUAUGUGGACCGGAUCGCGUGGACAAAAGGUACAAACCAGGUCAGAACACGAGGCGCGGGCCGGGUUGCACGAAACG
rnacentral:lncRNA from 1 species